rnacentral:rRNA from 1 species
UGCAUGGUUGUCGUCAGCUCGUGCCGUGAGGUGUCGGGUUAAGUCCCAUAACGAGCGCAACCCCUACCUUUAGUUGCCAUCAGGUUAAGCUGGGGACUCUAAAGGAACUGCCUACGCAAGUAGUGAGGAAGGCGGGGAUGACGUCAAAUCAGCACGGCCCUUACGUCCAGGGCUACACACGUGCUACAAUGGCCGAUACAGAGGGCAGCUACCUGGUGACAGGAUGCAAAUCUCCAAAGUCGGUCUCAGUUCGGAUCGGAGUCUGCAACCCGACUCCGUGAAGUUGGAUUCGCUAGUAAUCGCGCAUCAGCCAUGGCGCGGUGAAUACGUUCCCGGGCCUU